AUAUAAUGGGUUAGAGGAUAAUUUAUGUAUAUUGGUGUAGUAACUAUAGUAUGAUAUUGGUUUUAUUUUAUUACGUAUUGUGUGAAAUUUAGAUAGAUAAUUUGGUGUAUUUCGUAUAAUUAUGAUCAAAAUCGUAGGUAUUAUGGAAUCCAAACAACAUAUUUCUCCUGCUGCUGAACAUGAAGAAGAAACACCUAUAGGGCAAAAAAGAAAAGCAA
rnacentral:lncRNA from 1 species